rnacentral:rRNA from 1 species
AUGAAGAAAACAGGGAGGCAAAAAAGUAUAGUAGAAGAAAUCAUAUCAAAGGCUAAAGUGACUUGUUCGGGGUGCAAGAAGCAAGGACACAAUAUUACAGGUUGCAAGCAAAUAGAACAAGAGUCACCACAAAAACCUACAAAGACAGCCAAAAGAAAGAAUGCAAAGCAAAGUAAAGAGGAGUCUGCAAAAAAAAGAGGCAAAAGGCAAGAAGUAAUGCUUAUUCAUGCAAUGCGAAAGAAGAAGGGAUGCUCACUGUCUGAAGAACAACAUUGCAAAAGCAAACAAAAAGAUAUGGGUGAAAAAAAGAUCAACAAUAGGAGUAUUUGUUAA